UACGAAGGGGGCUAGCGUUGUUCGGAUUUACUGGGCGUAAAGCGCACGUAGGCGGAUCGUUAAGUCGGGGGUGAAAUCCUGGAGCUCAACUCCAGAACUGCAUUCGAUACUGGCGAUCUUGAGUCCGGAAGAGGUGAGUGGAACUCCUAGUGUAGAGGUGGAAUUCGUAGAUAUUAGGAAGAACACCAGUGGCGAAGGCGGCUCACUGGUCCGGUACUGACGCUGAGGUGCGAAAGCGUGGGGAGCAAACAGG
rnacentral:rRNA from 1 species